AACGAACGCUGGCGGCAUGCCUAACACAUGCAAGUCGAACGAGACCUUCGGGUCUAGUGGCGCACGGGUGCGUAACGCGUGGGAACCUGCCCUUAGGUUCGGAAUAACUCCCCGACAGGGGUGCUAAUACCUGAUAAUGUCUUCGGACCAAAGAUUUAUCGCCUUUGGAUGGGCCCGCGUUGGAUUAGCUAGUUGGUAGGGUAAAAGCCUACCAAGGCGACGAUCCAUAGCUGGUCUGAGAGGAUGAUCAGCCACACUGGGACUGAGACACGGCCCAGACUCCUACGGGAGGAAGCAGUGGGGAAUAUUGGACAAUGGGCGAAAGACUGAUCCAGCAAUGCCGCGUGAGUGAUGAAGGCCUUAGGGUUGUAAAGCUCUUUUACCCGGGAUGAUAAUGACAGUACCGGGAGAAUAAGCUCCGGCUAACUCCGUG
rnacentral:rRNA from 1 species